rnacentral:tRNA from 1 species
UAGACUGAAGCCAGUUGUUUAGGGUAUUUAGCUGUUAACUAAAAUUUCGUGGGGGUAGAGCCCACCAGUCUAG